rnacentral:rRNA from 1 species
AAUUAUAUUACUUUAAAUAUAAUAAGGAUUAAUUUUAUGGCUAGUAUAUAAAGAGACUAUUAUGGAAAAAUAAAAAGCUGUAUAUUAAACCACUAGUACCGUAAAAAUGAUGGAGUAAUUUCCAUUUAUUAAGGAAAAUGGUAAAAGAAUUUUUAUAAAAAAAACGAAGUGAAUUGAAGUAUCUUAUUAGCUUCAGGAAAAUAAAUCAAACGAGAUUCUAUUAGUAGUGUGAAUGAAAAUAGAUAUAGGCUUAAAGUAAAAUGGAUUAAUCUGUUUGAAUAUAGGGGAACCUUCCUCUAAGCCUUAAUAUAAUAUACAAGAAAUAGAGAAUAGUACUGUGAAGGAACUAUUGGAAAUAGUAGUCUUAUAAGCAGCUCAAGAUAAGUUUAAUAAACAUAUGAGAGCGUACCUUUUGUAUAAUGGGUCAGCAAGUUCUAAUUAGAUGCAAGCAAGUAGUGAUUAAUGAUGAUAUAUUGAAUAAUACGGAUAGUGUGUUAAACGGUAUAGAUUCAUGAAAAAUAAUCAAUUUGCCUAGAUAAUCCAAUUAUUAAGUAAUGAAUUAGUAUCUAAUUAGAGACCCGAAGAGUAGUGAUCUUACCAUGGUCAGGCUUAUAAAAGGCCGAAUGGGUUAUCGUUGUAAAGAUAUCCAAAGAACUGUGGUAAGUUAGUGAAAGACAAUCCUGACUACUAUAGCUGGUUUUCCGCGAAACAUAUGUAAGUAUGUAGUUUAAAUAACAUCAUAGCAGGUACAGAACUGUAAUCUCGGACAAUUUGUGCAUUAGUAUUCUUUGGGUAUAUAAUGCCUUGUGCAUAUGGGGGGGUCGUGAAGACUCUAUUCGCGAGUAUUUGCUCUCGGAAGGGCAAUGAUGAGUGUUGAACUAUCAGACAUUUAACGAUAAGGUUGUAUGUCAAAAGGGAAACAGCCCAGAACAAGUGUUUAAGGUUCCAAAGUUUUUGUUAAGUGAAAGUAAGGAAGUAUUUAAACUAUACAACCAGGAAAUAGGCUUAGAAGCGGCCAUUUUUUAAAGACCUCGUAACAGAGCACUGGUUCAAAUGGUUAAUUAAUUAACCAAAUUAGUUAAAAGCGCCGAAGAUAUAACGGAUCUAAAACAAAACACCGACACCUUGUCCAUAAUAAUUAAUAUUAGAUUUAAUCUAAUUUUACUAUACUUAAAUAUUAUUUAAGUAUUAUUUAUGGGGUAGCGGAACAUUGGGUAAAUAGGAUUAAAAAUAGGUAAUAUGUAUUAACCCUUAUAAUCUUUUUUUAAUUUAUAAAAACUAGGUUUAUAGGCACUACAUCUAUUUUCAUAAUUACAUUUGUAAUUUGCUCGUUAAAUAGCGGGUUUCCAUAAAUAUCCCAAGUGAGAAUGCUGACACGAGUAACGAAAAAGAGGAUGCGUAAUAGGUCCUCUCGCCUUAAGCUUAUGGGAAAAUAAAUCGGUCUCUAAAUUAAACCUAAAGGAUAAAAUGAUGAGGAGAUUAUAUGUGACAACAUAAAGAAAUUGAGUAAAAUGUUCUGGAAAAGCAUAUAGUCUGAGGAUGUACAUAAAUACUAGUAAAUAAACUAAAAAGAAAAUACUAGACUUCCUUAUGAAUAUAAAACCGUACCUAAAAACUACCACAAGUAAGCUAGUAGAGAAUACGAAGGCGUUUGAGCUAACAAUCAUUAAGGAACUCGGCAAAUUGACACCGUAACUGAGGGAGAAGGUGUGCCAUUCCUACUGAUUAAUAUCAGUUUAGGAAGAGGAGACAUAAAAUGGUGUUGCACGACUGUUUAAUUAAAACACAGCACUUUGCGUAAGAUGUAAAUCAAUGUAUAGAGUGCGCUAUCUGCCCAAUGAUGGCUGGUUAACGGAUUUACUUAGAUUACUAAAAUAGGCUAGGUUUUGAAGGAACCCCCAUUUAAUGGCGGCCUUACCUAUGAGGGUCCUAAGGUAGCGAAAUACCUUGGCAUUUAAAUGAUGUCGCGCAUGAAUGAUCUCACGAUGCAACAGCUGUCUCAAUGAUUGGCUCAGUGAAACUGGAAUGGCAGUGAAGAUACUGCCUAUCUCUAGAUAGACGAGAAGACCCCAUGCAGCUUUACUGUUACUAGUUAUAGGGUAUAAUGUAACAGGUUUUAGGGAAUAAGGUAGUUGACUGAUGGAAUUGAAACACCUUUACUCUGGUUGUUAUAUCAGUAGAAUAGACUACAUUUUUGUAGUUGACGUCUGAAUGUAAUCCAUAAAAGGAGGGAGAUUACAUCAAACUCAGGAGACAAUGGCUAGCAGAUGGUUUAUGCGGGGCACAGAUCCCAUAAAGAGUACCUGGGAGUAUCCAAAUUUAUUUUUGUAAUAUGCUAUACGCAAUUUAUAUAGGGCUUUUAUUAAAUAAUUGCCUUAUAUAUCUUAAUUUUUUAAUUACUAUAUUUAGUUUGUUAUUUUUUAUAUUUACUUUUAUAAAGUAUCUAUAACUAAUUCAGUUAUAUUUCUAUUUAAGUUAGAACUAAAACAAUUUAAUAUAAGUAAGAUUUUACCUAUGUGGAAAAUAGGUGUAUAUAUAGUAUUAAUUAUUAAUAUAUAAUUGAAUUAUAAACACAUUGUUGUUUAUACAAUAUUAAUUGUAACACUAUUAGUUAUUUUUUUUAUCUAAAUUUGAUAAGAGAAAAUGAUGUUGAUAUAUACUUCCAAAGUUUAAUGGCUUAAUCUUGCUUUACUGUUUGACAUACACGUCUAUCAGUUGCGUAAGCAGGGCAUAAAGACCGCAAGACGCAGUAAGGAAAGGUCUUGUAUUAUUGAAAAAGCUACGCUGGGGAUAACAGGCUAAUUGCGCCAGAGAGUACAAAUUGAGUGCGCAGUUUGGCACCUCGAUGUCGGCUUAGCUCAUCCACAUGAAUGCAGGAAUCAUGAAGGGU